GACGAACGCUGGCGGCGUUCUUAACACAUGCAAGUCGAACGGAAAGGCCCUGCUUUUGUGGGGUGCUCGAGUGGCGAACGGUUGAGUAACACGUGAGUAACCUGCCCUUGACUUUGGGAUAACUUCAGGAAACUGGGGCUAAUACCGGAUAGGAGCUCCUGCUGCAUGGUGGGGGUUGGAAAGUUUCGGCGGUUGGGGAUGGACUCGCGGCUUAUCAGCUUGUUGGUGGGGUAGUGGCUUACCAAGGCUUUGACGGGUAGCCGGCCUGAGAGGGUGACCGGACACAUUGGGACUGAGAUACGGCCCAGACUCCUACGGGAGGCAGCAGUGGGGAAGAUUGCACAAUGGGCGGAAGCCUGAUGCAGCAACGCCGCGUGCGGGAUGACGGCCUUAGGGUUGUAAACCGCUUUCGCCUGUGACGAAGCGUGAGUGACGGUAAUGGGUAAAGAAGCACCGGCUAACUAAGUG
rnacentral:rRNA from 1 species